AUUGAACGCUGGCGGCAGGCCUAACACAUGCAAGUCGAGCGCGAGGCGGACGGGUGUGUAAUGUCUGGGAAAAUGCCUGAUGGAGGGGGAUAAAUACUGGAAACGGUAGCUAAUACAGCACACCAUCUGAUGUGCCCAGAUGGGAUUAGCUAGUAGGUGGGGUAACGGCUCACCUAGGCGACGAUCCCUAGCUGGUCUGAGAGGAUGACCAGCCACACUGGAACUGAGACACGGUCCAGACUCCUACGGGAGGCAGCAGUGGGGAAUAUUGCACAAUGGGCGCAAGCCUGAUGCAGCCAUGCCGCGUGUGUGAAGAAGGCCUUCGGGUUGUAAAGCACUUUCAGCGGGGAGGCGUUACCCGCAGAAGAAGCACCGGCUAACUCCGUGCCAGCAGCCGCGGUAAUAC
rnacentral:rRNA from 1 species